rnacentral:rRNA from 1 species
UGAACUUAAGCAUAUCAAUAAGCGGAGGAAAAGAAACUAACAAGGAUUCCCCUAGUAACUGCGAGUGAAGCGGGAAAAGCUCAAAUUUAAAAUCUGGCGGUCUCCGGCCGUCCGAGUUGUAGUCUGGAGAAGCGUUUUCCGCGUUGGACCGUGUACAAGUUUCCUGGAACGGAGCGUCAUAGAGGGUGAGAAUCCCGUCUUUGACACGGACCCCAAUGCUUUGUGAUGCGCUCUCAAAGAGUCGAGUUGUUUGGGAAUGCAGCUCAAAAUGGGUGGUGAAUUCCAUCUAAAGCUAAAUAUUGGCGAGAGACCGAUAGCGAACAAGUACCGUGAGGGAAAGAUGAAAAGCACUUUGGAAAGAGAGUUAAACAGUACGUGAAAUUGUUGAAAGGGAAACGCUUGAAGUCAGUCGCGUCGGCCGGGACUCAGCCUUUACUGGUGUACUUUCCGGUCGAUGGGCCAGCAUCAGUUUUGACCGCGAGAUAAAGGCGUCGGGAAUGUGGCUCUUUCGGGAGUGUUAUAGCCCUUCGUCACAUGUCGCGGUCGGGACUGAGGAAUUCAGCACGCCUUUAUGGCCGGGGUUCGCCCACGUACGUGCUUAGGAUGCUGGCGUAAUGGCUUUAAACGACCCGUCUUGAAACACGGACCAAGGAGUCUAACAUGCCUGCGAGUGUUCGGGUGGAAAACCCGUGCGCGUAAUGAAAGUGAAAGUUGGGAUCCCUGUCGUGGGGUGCACCGACGCCCGGACCAGACCUUCUGUGACGGCUCCGCGGUAGAGCAUGUAUGUUGGGACCCGAAAGAUGGUGAACUAUGCCUGAAUAGGGUGAAGCCAGAGGAAACUCUGGUGGAGGCUCGUAGCGAUUCUGACGUGCAAAUCGAUCGUCAAAUUUGGGUAUAGGGGCGAAAGACUAAUCGAACCAUCUAGUAGCUG